rnacentral:rRNA from 1 species
UGGGGAAUAUUGCACAAUGGGCGCAAGCCUGAUGCAGCCAUGCCGCGUGUAUGAAGAAGGCCUUCGGGUUGUAAAGUACUUUCAGCGAGGAGGAAGGCGGUAAGGUUAAUAACCUUAUCGAUUGACGUUACUCGCAGACGAAGCACCGGCUAACUCCGUGCCAGCAGCCGCGGUAAUACGGAGGGUGCAAGCGUUAAUCGGAAUUACUGGGCGUAAAGCGCACGCAGGCGGUCUGUCAAGUCGGAUGUGAAAUCCCCGGGCUCAACCUGGGAACUGCAUUCGAAACUGGCAGGCUAGAGUCUUGUAGAGGGGGGUAGAAUUCCAGGUGUAGCGGUGAAAUGCGUAGAGAUCUGGAGGAAUACCGGUGGCGAAGGCGGCCCCCUGGACAAAGACUGACGCUCAGGUGCGAAAGCGUGGGGAGCAAACA